GACGAACGCUGGCGGCGUGCCUAAUACAUGCAAGUCGAACGCUGAAGGAGGAGCUUGCUUCUCUGGAUGAGUUGCGAACGGGUGAGUAACGCGUAGGUAACCUGCCUGGUAGCGGGGGAUAACUAUUGGAAACGAUAGCUAAUACCGCAUAAGAGUAGAUGUUGCAUGACAUUUGCUUAAAAGGUGCAAUUGCAUCACUACCAGAUGGACCUGCGUUGUAUUAGCUAGUUGGUGGGGUAACGGCUCACCAAGGCGACGAUACAUAGCCGACCUGAGAGGGUGAUCGGCCACAAUGGGACUGAGACACGGCCCAGACUCCUACGGGAGGCAGCAGUAGGGAAUCUUCGGCAAUGGGCGGAAGUCUGACCGAGCAACGCCGCGGGAGUGAAGAAGGUUGUCGGAUCGGAAAGCUCUGUUGUAAGAGAAGAACGAGUGUGAGAGUGGAAAGUUCACACUGUGACGGUAACUUACCAGAAAGGGACGGCUAACUACGUG
rnacentral:rRNA from 1 species